CCUACGGGUGGCAGCAGUGAGGAAUAUUGGUCAAUGGACGAGAGUCUGAACCAGCCAAGUAGCGUGAAGGAUGACUGCCCUAUGGGUUGUAAACUUCUUUUAUAUGGGAAUAAAAUGUUCCACGUGUGGGAUUUUGUAUGUACCAUAUGAAUAAGGAUCGGCUAACUCCGUGCCAGCAGCCGCGGUAAUACGGAGGAUCCGAGUGUUAUCCGGAUUUAUUGGGUUUAAAGGGAGCGUAGGUGGAUUGUUAAGUCAGUUGUGAAAGUUUGCGGCUCAACCGUAAAAUUGCAGUUGAAACUGGCAGUCUUGAGUACAGUAGAGGUGGGCGGAAUUCGUGGUGUAGCGGUGAAAUGCUUAGAUAUCACGAAGAACUCCGAUUGCGAAGGCAGUUCACUGGACUGCAACUGACACUGAGGCUCGAAAGUGUGGGUAUCAAACAGGAUUAGAUACCCUAGUAGUC
rnacentral:rRNA from 1 species